CAUUCAGGAAGAAACAUGCACUUUAAAAGGGAGAUAUUUCUGUUAAUUGGAAAGGUUGCUCACUGUUUGCAAUAUCUGCUACUUCAAAUCAAUCACAGAUAUAGCUUCUUUAGUUUUCAUCAAGGUUAAGUAACUAAAUUUGGCAGGAGUGCCCUUGCCAUACCGAUCCAGACUAGCAGAAAGUAAAUGCCAGCUGCAUUUGCUAACAGAUACUUUAAAAUUUCACUGCAAAUAGUCUUAUUUGAGAUUAAUUAUAUCUCAUUAACUGCUCUGCUUAAAACUACCAGAAAGAUUUAUAGUACAGCAAAGAGAAAAUGCAUUAGAAUACAAACAAAGUAGUGAUUUUUGUAUAUCAGAUAAUCUGAGUCUAUGAAACUAAAUUCUGUAACUUAAUGCAUCUGUCGUAUGAAACUGUUCUCUAAAGAAGAAGAAGCACAAGACCAGCCAUAAACUCCAGAAAUUAAAUUGUGGGAUUCUCUAUAAAGAGCUGCCUAUAAAACACUGAUGAGUCUGUCAUAGAAGUAUCACUUUUGCCUUGGCAAAUACCCUUUUCACAAAGAGUAAACCACACUUCCAAAGCAGAGAUCACACCCUUACAUUUCCCUGUUAGAAUACUCCCUCUAUAGGCUUGAUUCUUUUUUCCUUAAGCCUAGGUCACAGCAAUAUUUCUAGACACACGCCUAGAGUUAUAAAACCAAUGUAAUAAAUAUGGAAGAAAUAAAAUAAUCAUACAUACUACAUUCCUAAGCAGCUUAAAAUCUCUGUGCUUGUAAGGACAGUACAAUUUGGAAUGCCAGUGGUUGCCCCUUGCUCUGAAUUUCUAACAUCUAAAUUUAUCAUAUGUCACAACACAGUACAAUUGGCAGUUAACCUUCAAGUUAUUUCCUUUUUGAUAGAAAUAAUCCAUGGCAGACAAUGAAAUACUUAGAUUUAAACUGAGUUCAGCUUGUAGAACAACGUAUCUCAGAAGAAUUGUCCAACACUAAGCACUUCUCAAAUGUGCUUUUAUAUCAGCUACUUUUUCAGUAACACACUUCUGGUUAUUCUUUGCACUACGAAUUUUCUCCGACAAACAAUGCAAACAUGAGUCUCAUUUCUGCUGAGCUUGAAGUGCCUGCAAUCAUCGUAACUAAAAUGUUCAGUUGGUUGUAUCACUUCUGCAAGCAAGCUCUUCCUCCUGCAAGAAUUACUAUUAGCUUCUGAGCUCUGCACAAAUCUCCAACAGACCACGACUUAAGAACCUUGGGUAAGAGCUCACCAAAUGCUAAUUGAAUUUUGCCAUUGGGUGUGAAAUUCAGGUUUCUCCUAAGUGUAAAUCUGAAUUUCUUAACACUGAAAUUUUAAUUUUCAUAACUCUAAAGAUGAAUUGUAGUCCUUCUUCACUUCCAUUACCAGUACCACUGUUUUCCUUAAUUAAGGGAGGAAUCAUCACGAAAAAAAGUGACAAAGGAUUUACCAAGGCUUUGAUACUACAGGCUUGCUUGUAUCAAAUAGAAAGUAAUAUUUGUAUCAGGGUAUGUAUUUCAGAAAUGUGAUACUGCUUGGCAAAGCUACUAACGGCAGAACUUGGCCAUUGCUAAAGCUUGGAAAUAAAGGCUAACAGCGAGACAUGAAUCCUUCAGAGGAAUUUAAGGAGAAGCUAGAAGCACAGGAUUAUCCCCAAUCCAUCCAUCUCCGAUCCUCGUAAGGGGUCCUCAUCUGACAGACCUUCGCAGAUAUUUCUGUUGGCUGUACGAAGAAUAGAGCGACCUGUGCACAGUCUACUAAACGAGACUGUGAAAUGCUGCACCAGUGCUGAAGUAAACUUCUGAACCUGCUCAGAACCAUAGAAAGCUAAGCAUGGACAUCUUAAAAAAGCUGAGACAUUGCUAUAACUACAGCUGAUUCUCUUCAGUUUUCUCAGAACUAUGGAUGGAUUUCUGGAGAAACUUCAUUGUGUUGUGAAACUUCAUAAUCUCGCUCUGUCUGAUAUAUAAGGGCCAGUGUCCUCACUUUCAUCCAUGAAGGGCCAAAACAUCUGACAACCAUAAGGCAACACGCUUUUCAAUUUCACUGGCCAUUUCCUUUGGAUCUCAGUACGUUUUGAGGAUUACAUUACUGGUAACUAGCUCAUGUUUGCUGUGUUGUGGCUGUUGCAGUGUUACUGAUCUGAAAACUUGCUUCUUCAAAAUAAUGAAGCAUAUAGCUAUCUUGGUUUACUUUUGCCAGUUCCCAUGGCAGCCUCUCAGCUCUAAAAAUGUGAUAGGCUGUCAGACUGUUGUGUAUCUGAUGUUUGGAACAGCUGGAUUUCCUCCUACCACUAUAUGUGAAUCAGAAACAACUACUAACAAAAGGAAGUUGACUGCCUUUCAAUACUAACCCCUGAUUAGCAUGUCAGUGAAUUAGCAAUGAAUGUCAUGGUAAAGGAUAAAUAGGCCAAAACUAGAUGUUUGUUUUAAUGACAUCAUUCCUAAAGCCAGGACUGAAAUAUUAUUUACUGUGGAAAAUUUCGUGACAAACACUCACAAUCUUAGGGAAUUUUCAUGCACAAAGUUCCUGUUCACUGUACCUCAAAACUUACUGGUUUUUGUUUGAUGCAUAAAAAAAGAAAACACUCCACUUGUGUAAAUAUCCAUCCCAAAUCAGAGUGAAGCAGAACCAAACCAAAUCCUGUCUGCCAUGAA